GGCUCGUUGGUCUAGGGGUAUGAUUCUCGCUUCGGGUGCGAGAGGUCCUGGGGUUCAACUCCCGGACGAGCCC
rnacentral:tRNA from 1 species